GAACGCUAGCUACAGGCUUAACACAUGCAAGUCGAGGGGUAGCACGGGGGAAGCUUGCUUCCUUGGGUGACGACCGGCGCACGGGUGAGUAACGCGUAUCCGACCUACCCAUAACUCGGGCACAGCCGCUCGAAAGAGUGAUUGAUUCCCGAUAUGUCCUUGGAGUAGAUUCAAUGAUGAAAGAUUCAUCGAUUAUGGAUAGGCAUGCGCAUGAUUAGCUAGUUGGUGGGGUAACGGCUCACCAAGGCGACGAUCAUUAGGGGUUCUGAGAGGAAGGUCCCCCACACUGGUACUGAGACACGGACCAGACUCCUACGGGAGGCAGCAGUGAGGAAUAUUGGUCAAUGGACGCGAGUCUGAACCAGCCAAGUCGCGUGAAGGAAGACUGCCCUAAGGGUUGUAAACUUCUUUUGUAUGGGAAUAAAAAUAGAACGUGUUCUAUAUUGUAUGUACCAUACGAAUAAGGAUCGGCUAACUCCGUG
rnacentral:rRNA from 1 species